ACCCUGCAAAAUCAUCUCAUAAUUCUCACUAUGUCAACUUAUUUCUAUGUCAGUUAAGCAAUUUUUAAUGAGUGUGACUAGCUAAUAUGCGCAAUGAUUGAUAUAAUAGAAGACUGAAGUGACAAGACUUAACAUUCCACAAAUAAAUUCCACAUCAAAACAUAGAAUGUAGUGCCAUUGAAAAAUAAUUAUAAUUAAUGUGUGAACUAAAAAUUAACAGUUUCAUCUUUUUCAAAUGCCUCUGAAACAUAUGCUAGCAAAGAACAAAUAUAAAAAAAAAGUUUAAUUUAUUUUACAAAUUUUCAAAUGUUAUAAAACAUAGGUAAAGAUGUCAAGACAUCAUCUCUAUUGAGAUAGAGAUUUAAACAUGAACACUCUGAAACAAAAGUCAUAAGGAGGGCUUCAAAUAGAUUCUAUCAUUUAAAUUUUUUUUAGAUCAUUCUACUACUACUAUUGAAAUCAUCAUUGACUUUAAAAAGUGGAGUGGUGAAACGCAAAACAAGCCAAAAGUGAUGAGCAUCAAUGGAAAUUAAAAAACACUUAAAUGAGAAUGUGAAAAGGAUUUUGUUCAAUAAAAAUAAAUUAUUUGCAAUAUACACUUUAAAAAUUGACACAAACCAAUAAAGAAUAGUAAAAGGCGGAACUACAAUAACUAAAGAAAUAGGAAGAGAAAGAAAAAGAUUUGUAUAACUCACAAAAGGGAAGACAGUUUUAACAACUGGAUCACUACUUCAAAAGGAGGUGAUUAAUUCAAACAUGAAAAUGCAUUCCUUGGCUUUGUAAAUGGCUCACAAAGGUGUUGCCUCAGUAAAUAAUAUUUUUCUUGAUUCAUGCUUUUCACACUAGAUGGCACUAAAGUGUGGUCUGGUCUAUCUGCUCUGUAUCGAAUCGAAUCUAAGUGACAAGUGGCGUCCUUGCUCGAUCUCUCUCUCGAUACUUUAUAGAGUAAGGUUUUGUGAGUUUGUAUGUUUUAGGUGGGUAAUCUCCGAAACUACCAAACCGAUUUCAAAAAUUCUUUAACCAUUACAAAGUUACAUUAUCCAAGAUUGCUAUAUUAUAUCUCAAAAUUACGACGGGAGCGAAGUCCCAACUUCAACAGUGUACAUUUCUUGUGACAGUAUAAUUAUAUUUUUUGUGAUUUAUAAGUAUGUGUUUACCCAGAUUGCCAGAUUACUAAUUUAUUUUAUGAACAAUAUUUUUGUGUGAAUAAAAUCAU